GGGAGCGGCCGGCAGCGGCCGGGGCGUCCCGCGAGUGCCGGGGAACACGGGCUGAGCCCUGGGAAAGGGGGGAAGCGGCGCGGAGAUUUCACAGGAGGGGGCCUCGGCGUGGAAGCAGCGCCGCUGGGAAUUGUCACCCCGCUGGGGUCUUCGUGCCACUGGGAUGUCACUCAGCUGCUGCCACAGGGCCAGCACUGCGGAGGUCACAGCUCAAAUCCUGCGUGCAGCUCUGCAUCCAGAGUGGAAAGAAGAGGAGUUGGACCGUGUCCAGAGACACCUCAGAAUGGAUAUCCCAUUCCAUCUGUUUGUCCUUGGGGGAUCCCUCUGUGCUGCCAGAACAGAGCCAAGAGCAACCUAAAAAUGCAACCUAAAUGUCCCAGGCUUCUCAAUUCCACAAAAAAAAGGGAUUUGAUGCCGUUUUUUCAUGGAAUUCCAACAGCCUCGGGCACUGCAAUUGUCCUUUGGGAUAAGCAGCAAAUCCCAAUUUCCUCGGAUCAAAGAAAGGAGGUUUCUUUAUUAAACUUUAGUAAACUUUAGUGAA